AUGGCUGUGCUGCUGAGGCUGGCAUCAAAAUCCUGGCCUCAAGCUAAUCGCCCAAUUUUGCUUAAAAAAUGCUGUUUUCGAAGUCAGGCACGUUGCUCAGCAGCGGCCGCAGCGCGUGCGUCUGUGCCUCUGUGCAGGUCUCCGGGUCCCUCUGCCAUCAUACCAAUGUUCAUCGUAAACACCAACGUGCCCGGUGCCUCCGUGCUGCACGGGUUCCUCUCCGAGCUCACCCAGCAGCUGGUGCAGGCCACUGGCAAGCCACCCCACUACAUUGCGGUGCACUUGGUCCCGGAUCAGCUCGUGGCCUUGGGCGGCUCCAGCGAGCGGUGUGCGCUCUGCAGCCUGCACAGCAUCUGCAAGCUUAGCGGCGCGCAGAACCGCUCUUAACAGGAAGAUGCUGUGCUGCCUGCGGGCAGAGCGCCUGCGCAUCAGCCCAGACAGAGUCUACAUCAACUAUAACAUAAACGCGGCCAAUGUUUUAACUUUAGACUGGAACAACUACACCUUCACCUAA